ACCUGGCUGGCUCAGUCGGUAGAGCAUGAGACUCUUGAUCUCUGGGUCAUGAGUUCGAGCCCCAGGUUGGGCA
rnacentral:tRNA from 1 species